rnacentral:rRNA from 1 species
GACAGAGGGUGCAAACGUUGUUCGGAAUUACUGGGCGUAAAGGGCGCGUAGGCGGCCUUCUAAGUCGAACGUGAAAUCCCCGGGCUCAACCCGGGAACUGCGUCCGAUACUGGAAGGCUUGAAUCCGGGAGAGGGAUGCGGAAUUCCAGGUGUAGCGGUGAAAUGCGUAGAUAUCUGGAGGAACACCGGUGGCGAAGGCGGCAUUCUGGACUGCAACUGACACUGAAAGACGAAAGCCAGGGGAGCAAACGGG